rnacentral:rRNA from 1 species
CAGGGAAUCUUCCACAAUGGGCGAAAGCCUGAUGGAGCAACGCCGCGUGAGUGAAGAAGGGUUUCGGCUCGUAAAGCUCUGUUGUUAAAGAAGAACACGUAUGAGAGUAACUGUUCAUACGUUGACGGUAUUUAACCAGAAAGUCACGGCUAACUACGUGCCAG